GUGACCUGCGGAGGAUCAUUAUUGAGUGAGGGUCUACGGCCCGACCUCCAACCCCGUGUCUAAAUACCCUGUUGCUUUGGCGGGCCCGUCUUCGGACCGUCGGAAGUCGUUUGGCUUCUGGCCCGCGCCCGUCAAUAGCCCCCUUCAAAACUCUCGACCAAAAACGUGUCUGAGUCUGAAACUUGCAAAAUAAAGUUUAAAAAACUUUCAACAACGGAUCUCUUGGUUCUGGCAUCGAUGAAGAACGCAGCGAAAUGCGAUAAGUAAUGCGAAUUGCAGAAUUCAGUGAGUCAUCGAAUCUYUGAACGCACAUUGCGCCCUUUGGUAUUCCGAAGGGCAUGCCUGUUCGAGCGUCAUUAUCAACCCUCAAGCCCCGCUUGUCGUUGGACCCCCGUCGUCGCCGGCGGGUCUCAAAGAUAAUGACGGAGUCGUGUUGGACCCCGGAUGCAACGAGCUCUUGGAGCACGCAUCGAAGUGGCCGACCGCUCCCGUCYUGACCACAUGUUUUUAUCACCAGGUUGACCUCGGAUCAGGUAGGAAUACCCGCUGAACUUAA
rnacentral:rRNA from 1 species